rnacentral:rRNA from 1 species
GAUGAACGCUGGCGGCGUGCCUAAUACAUGCAAGUCGAGCGAACAGACGAGGAGCUUGCUCCUCUGACGUUAGCGGCGGACGGGUGAGUAACACGUGGAUAACCUACCUAUAAGACUGGGAUAACUUCGGGAAACCGGAGCUAAUACCGGAUAAUAUAUUGAACCGCAUGGUUCAAUAGUGAAAGACGGUUUUGCUGUCACUUAUAGAUGGAUCCGCGCCGCAUUAGCUAGUUGGUAAGGUAACGGCUUACCAAGGCAACGAUGCGUAGCCGACCUGAGAGGGUGAUCGGCCACACUGGAACUGAGACACGGUCCAGACUCCUACGGGAGGCAGCAGUAGGGAAUCUCCCGCAAUGGGCGAAAGCUUGACGGGGCAACGCCGCGUGAGUGAUGAAGGUCUUCGGAUCGUAAAACUCUGUUAUUAGGGAAGAACAAAUGUGUAAGUAACUAUGCACGUCUUGACGGUACCUAAUCAGAAAGCCACGGCUAACUACGUG